UUUUCUGUUGUUUUUAGAUUCAAGUGACGAAAACUUAUGAAAUGAUAUUUUAAGUUUAAACUGAUCAAUUAAUUUAAUUAAUUGAUUUAUUGUAGCAACAAUGGUAAAUUGUUUAAAUAGAGAAAGAAAUUUACAACGAAAAAUGUAUGAAUGUAAUAUUUGAAAUCUAAAAUGAUAAAUUAUUGUGCGAAAAUAAUAAAACUCGCAAUGUCAGCACAUGGUCUCAUUAGAACGUGUUUAACGAGCGUAGCGUAAGCGUGAAAAUGAAAACGUUGAGGCUCUCGUGGUGUAAAAAGGCUAAAUUCCUCAUAAAAAUACAAGAAAUGAGAGGGAACGUUCGCCCUUGAACACAUAAAACCAAAAAAAAAAAAAAAAAAAAAAAAAAAAUAGAAAAGGAAAAAAACCACAAAUUUUAGUGAAGCUAUUUUACUGAAACUUAUAUCAUUUUAACAGCUAUAUAUAAAACGUUGAAUUAUUUCCUUUCGCGCAGAGCAAUUUUACUUCAAAUUUCUAGCUUCAGAAUGAUAAUUACGUAUUUGUAAUUAUCAACAAGCUUUAAAAAUAUGGAAUAUUCAGCCAGAUGAAAUAUAGGUAAAGUAUUUAGAAGAAAAAAGAUUGAAAUGUUUUAUGUAAAACGAUUAAAUUAAGUGGUUGAGUUUGAAAAUUUGACUCGGUUUAAUAAUUCAAUGGAAAAAAUAUUCGCCCUAUGAAAAAAAAUUCAUGUUCCUGUCGAUAUAUCGGCGAGGUGCUCCUCUACUUUCGACUGCUCUGCAAUUCAAAUGCAAUACUCGAAUAUACAUGGCGAAAGAAAUGGAAAUUGAGGAAUUUAAGGGAACCAAUUACUCUCGCGUCGACGUAACUUCAAAAUGUUUCACGUGUCGGUGUUUGCGAAAUGAAGUUCGUCGUUAUCCGAUUAACACGCUUGCAGAUGCGUUCUUUUUGUUGCAAAGUAAAUGGACAAAUUGUGAACAAAUAAUGUUUACAAUUACAUCAAAAUUAAUGUCCUAAACUUUACCAAGAAUUAUUAAAAAUCCCUGCGUAUUGCUUACGUAAUGUUGAUAUUGAGUAGUACCAUACAUAACCUCAACAUUAUGAUACUUACAAACAUCGCUAAACAAGUAGUGCGAACGAUGUCGACAUUUCGCUUGGCGUUGGUACAACUUGAAGUAAAUGAAGUAAAACGCAAAAAUGUAGAGCGGGCAGUUUCCUACAUUUCUAGCGCAAAAGAGCGCAAUGCUGAUAUUAUAGCUCUUCCUGAAUGCUUUAAUUCACCAUAUGGAAUACAGUACUUUCGAAAAUACGCCGAGAGUAUUCCUGAUGGUGAAACGAGCGUUGCUUUAUCGAAUGCAGCUAAAGAAAACAACAUCUAUGUAGUUGGUGGUACGAUGCCUGAAAUAGAGGGCGAUAAAUUGUACAAUACCUGUACUAUUUGGGGUCCCGAUGGAACUUUGAUAGCAAAACACCGAAAGGUACAUCUAUUCGACAUCGACAUUCCUAAUAAGAUUACUUUUCGAGAGAGUGAUUCACUCAGUCCUGGUAACUCCCUAACGACGUUCGAUGUGAAGGGCUGCAAAAUAGGUAUUGGCAUAUGCUAUGAUAUUAGAUUCGAGGAAAUGGCACGCAUUUAUCGGAACAAAGGUUGCCAAAUGCUGAUAUAUCCAGCGGCAUUCAAUAUGACCACUGGACCACUGCACUGGUCAUUACUUCAGCGUUCCAGAGCGAAUGAUAAUCAAUUAUACGUUGCUUGCAUAUCACCGGCUCGUGUUCCUUCAGCAAGUUACGUCGCAUGGGGGCAUACACAGUUGACCAAUCCCUGGGGAGAGAUUCUUUACGAUUUGGAAACUCAAGAGAAUAUGGCAGUCACCGAUAUCGCAUCUGAAAAACAAGACAUCUUCGAGACAGCGUGGGUUUUCUUUCCAACUUUCUUAACUUUCAACAAUAAAAUUUUCGUCAAACGAUACAAUCUAUCCAACAAAGUUCUUGUAGACAGCCAAUCUCGUAAGAACAUAGAUCUUCUUCAAGUAUUAUUCUUCACAAUGCUUCGUGUGGAAUUUCUACUUGACGAGUUAUUAUUAAACGAUUAAAAGCUUAUUAUUAUACGAUAAUGUAAUAUCGUAGAAUAGCUUUGAUUGGAGAUCGGCUGAAAUUAGAAAACACCGUGUACGCCGUCUUUUUGUGGUUUGUUUACAUCCAAGAGCGCCUAGUAACAGUGACGCGAGAAAAGAUAAGCAGCGUCAAAACAGAAGUACGGUUUCAUAUUUCAAGGAGUGGCAAUCGAGAGGCCAGAGUAUGUGAGCCGAAAAGUGUGUGUGUGUGUGUGUGAGUGUGUGUGUGUGUGUGUGUGUGUGUGUGUGUGUGUGUGUGUGUGUGUGUGUGUGUGUGUGUGUGUGCGUGUGUGUGCGUGCAGGACCGAGCAGGAAUGCAUUGGCGAGGUUCAGAAGUUGAUCGAGACGUCGAAGCAUAGAGUCGUUAGAAUUGAGUUGCGAGUGUUGUCGAGUGUUAGAGUUGCUAGUGAGAGAGAGAGAGAGAGAGAGAGAGAGUUACCAAAUAGUUGUCAAGUUAUUUGAUGUAAAUACGAGCGUUGCAUUUAGUUUUCCUGUUAAUCAAACAUCGUUUCUCUGUCUGUAUUUUCUGUCUGUAAUAUCUGUAUUUUCAAUCCAUUAUUAAUAAAUUAUAAUUAAUCGGACAAAAUUACACCUUUAAUAUAUUCCGAUAUUACAAUAACUUACUUUUUUCUACGUCAAUGGACACGAAAGACGUUGAGUGAGGAAUUAGAACAAGUGUGGAUCGUUGGAAACCACUAUGCUGCGGUCUACCAUUCGUUUUACCCUAUAUAUACCACGGAACAAAGGAUAAUUUUCACCGGCUUGGCUAUGGCUACUGGUGUGGAUCCAAGUAUUCGGGCCAUACUAGACGCUAUGCAGAAGCAGAACGAAAUCAAGUUAAGAAAACUGUUAAAGGAGACUAUUAAAGCAGCGACUAGUCGGAGUUAUCAGGGUAGUUUAGUUUCUAAUAAU